GUCUGGAAAAGUGUAAAAUAUGAAAAAUGUGAAGGAAUCUUGAACUGAAUUUGGCAAAACUCUUCACACGUAAAACAAAACGACUCACAAUAAUAUUGAAAUUAUUUCUCAGAUCUAGUAACCCAAAGGUCAUAAGUAAUUAUAGCAUCAAAUACAUGAGUCAUUUUAGAUUUUAUGAAGUUUUAUGUGCUUAUUUUUAUUCCUGCAGGAUGUAUAUUUAGACAGAACAUUUGUAGCCAUAAACUCUCUCACCAGUGUAAAUACAAAAAUCAAACAAUGAAACAUACAUGAUGUGUCUGUCCACUGUGUGUUUUCCAGACUCACCCCACUCAGACGGCCUUCCUGUCCAGCGUCGACCUCCACACACACUGCUCCUACCAGAUGAUGCUGCCGGAGGCCAUCGCGAUCGUCUGCUCGCCCAAAUUUAACGAAAUCGGUUACUUCAGGUUGACGGAUCGAGGAACAGACGAGAUCUCCACAUGUAAACAGAAAGGCUUUCACCCUCACAGCAGAGACCCUCCUCUGUUUACACACGCGGGACAUGUCAACAUCACCGAUGACACUGUGUCCAUGAUGGAUUUGCGAUGAUUUUAUUUUCCUUUUUGUCACCAGAACACUCUGAAAAUAGACUUUUUAUCAAACCGCUGACAUUUUAGUGGAGAAAACACUCAUUUUAUUUUCAGGACGGCCACAAGUUUACCAUUUAUAUGAACUUCAGCUGUUCUCAAAGGGAACAACAUCGUGAACCCUUUUUUUGUUGUUUUUUUGCUCCGUAAGAAAAAAAAUCCACAUAUUAUUGCACUUUCAAGCAAACAACUAUCCACAUUAACGGACUGGCAAACCUGCGGCUCUUCAACCCCUCUGUUCUGUGCUGUUUUGUUUUUAAUAAAAAUGUGUUUGUUCGUGUCCGGUAACCCAACCUUUGUGUCAUAACUGCCGUCAAAGUUUGGCUCUGCCUGACAGAUAAAGUGCCAAGGACGAGAACGUUCGCUUGAGUUGUUCUUUAUGCGACAUGAAGUUCAGUGUGAAAUCUCUAUAGUUUGUAAUCUUUGUGUGUUUCCGUCAAAAGCUGUCGAAGUGCUACGAGUGAUGGGCGACACGAAAGCCAGUUGUAACUCAGGUAUGCAGGCAGUGUUGCUGCUCUGUAUUAUAUUUUUAUAAACAACCACCAUCACUCCACACUAUCCUUUAUCUAUGAAGGGUUUUGUUUAGUUUUUGCUUAUGAUGGAUCCACAUUGUCAUGUGUCCUUAUUCUUCAUGUUUUUGGGGGGGAAAGCAGUUGGUAGUAUGAUGUGUCCGUGCUUCAGAGGACGUGUGUUUGAAACAGGCAAUGUGAAUGUACCUCCUGCUCCACAUUAUUACACAUGACUAACCACCCGGCCAUGAUUCAUGCCUCUAACCGUUUGUUUGCUCCCUCCGCUUGUUAGAAGACGUCAAUGAUUAGCCAUAAUAACCGUACGAGAAUACCUUCGGUGAAUUAAAUGCCAAGUGAAAAAUAAACUCAUUGUAGAUAUA